UACGUAGGGGGCAAGCGUUGUUCGGAAUUACUGGGCGUAAAGGGCGCGUAGGCGGCACAGCAAGUCGGGAGUGAAAGCCCGGGGCUCAACCCCGGAACGGCUUUCGAAACUGCUGAGCUAGAGUACAGAAGGGGCAACCGGAAUUCCCAGUGUAGCGGUGAAAUGCGUAGAUAUUGGGAAGAACACCUGAGGCGAAGGCGGGUUGCUGGGCUGAUACUGUCGCUGAGGCGCGAAAAGCCAGGGGGAGCAAACGGGG
rnacentral:rRNA from 1 species